GGGCCUAUGGCGCAAUUGGUAGCGCGUAGUAAGUUAUCCUGCUCUCAUCAGCAGUCACAAACAUCAUCUAACAAAUCUUCCACAGCGACUCCAGAUCGUAAGGUUGUCCGAUCGAGCCGGGCUGGGCUCA